AAUGAACGCUGGCGGCAGGCCUAACACAUGCAAGUCGAACGGAUCCUUCGGGAUUAGUGGCGGACGGGUGAGUAACGCGUGGGAACAUACCCUUUGGUACGGAAUAGCCUCGGGAAACUGGGAGUAAUACCGUAUGUGCUCUUCGGAGGAAAGAUUUAUCGCCAAAGGAUUGGCCCGCGUUGGAUUAGGUAGUUGGUGGGGUAAUGGCCUACCAAGCCGACGAUCCAUAGCUGGUUUGAGAGGAUGAUCAGCCACACUGGGACUGAGACACGGCCCAGACUCCUACGGGAGGCAGCAGUGAGGAAUCUUAGACAAUGGGGGAAACCCUGAUCUAGCCAUGCCGCGUGAUCGAUGAAGGCCUUAGGGUUGUAAAGAUCUUUCAGUGGGGAAGAUAAUGACGGUACCCACAGAAGAAGCCCCCGGCUAACUCCGUGCCAGCAGCCGCGGUAAU
rnacentral:rRNA from 1 species